ACGGGGGAUGCAAGCGUUAUCCGGAUUUAUUGGGUUUAAAGGGUGCGUAGGCGGUUUGAUAAGUCAGCGGUGAAAUAUUUCAGCUUAACUGAAAGGGUGCCGUUGAUACUGUCAGGCUUGAAUAUGGUUGCUGUGGGUGGAAUGUGUAGUGUUACGAUGAAAUGCUUAGAAAUCACACAUAAUAUCGAUUGCGAAGUCAGCGCACAAAACUAUUAUUGAAGUUGUUGCACGUAUGUGUGGCGAUCUCACAG
rnacentral:rRNA from 1 species